rnacentral:rRNA from 1 species
CGCGUAGGCGGUUCGCUAAGUUGAAUGUGAAAACUCUGGGCUUAACCCAGAGCCUGCAUCCAAAACUGGCGAACUGGAGUACUGGAGGGGAAAGCGGAAUUCCUGGCGUAGCGGUGAAAUGCGUAGAUAUCAGGAGGAACACCGGUGGCGAAGGCGGCUUUCUGGACAGUAACUGACGCUGAGGCGCGAAAGCCGGGGGAGCAAACA